rnacentral:rRNA from 1 species
UACGUAGGGGCCUAGCGUUGUCCGGAUUUAUUGGGCGUAAAGAGCUCGUAGGCGGUUCGGUAAGUCAGGUGUGAAAUCUCCACGCUCAACGUGGAGGCGCCACCUGAAACUGCCGUGACUCGAGUCCGGUAGGGGAGUGUGGAAUUCCCGGUGUAGCGGUGAAAUGCGUAGAUAUCGAGAGGAACACCUGCGGCGAAGGCGGGUUGCUGGGCUGACACUGACGCUGAAGUGCGAAAGCUAGGGGAGCGAACGGG